GUGCUAUCAAAGUAUGUCUAUGCUCAGUAUUAGGACACAUCACGUCAAGUAUUACUUAUCGUGACUGAUUAAAAUGACAUUAAGUAGAUGAAGUCAGUUCUUUGUUGAUAAAAAUGAUAAAUAAAUAAUAUUUAAUAUCUUUAACAUGCCUAGUAGCAGUCUGUCUACCAAAAUAACCAUAAAAAAUAUUAAAUGCAGUGUAAUACUAACAUGUGAUUAGUCCUGCAGAUAUUAGAUUUUACUGAAAUUCCUGCCUUCCAACUGAUUCACUUCCGUACAUGAAAGCAUAACUCGUUUCAGGUCACAUUAAAUUAUCGGAACGAGAAGUCAUCACACAACUUCUCUAAGCAUUUGGUGACUUCCGUUUGAAUGCUGGCCAAGAAUUCUAAAACUUGCUUUGUUUAUUUACUCGUUAGUUUGUUUAUGAUUUCGCUGUUAAGUUAAUGCAGUAUAAUUAACUUCAAAAUGCACAAUUAUUUUAUCCGAUGAACUCAUUUGCAAACAUUAGUUUUAUCAGAGUCCUAAAUUAAAAGUUAACG